CCUACGGGAGGCAGCAGUGAGGAAUAUUGGUCAAUGGGCGAGAGUCUGAACCAGCCAAGUAGCGUGAAGGAUGACUGCCCUAUGGGUUGUAAACUUCUUUUAUAAAGGAAUAAAACGAGGCACGUGUGCCUUUUUGCAUGUACUUUAUGAAUAAGGAUCGGCUAACUCCGUGCCAGCAGCCGCGGUAAUACGGAGGAUCCGAGCGUUAUCCGGAUUUAUUGGGUUUAAAGGGAGCGUAGAUGGGUUGUUAAGUCAGUUGUGAAAGUUUGCGGCUCAACCGUAAAAUUGCAAUUGAUACUGGGAGUCUUGAGUAUGUUUGAGGUAGGCGGAAUGCGUGGUGUAGCGGUGAAAUGCUUAGAGAUCACGAAGAACCCCGAUUGCGAAGGCAGCCUGCGAAGCCAUGACUGACGCUGAUGCACGAAAGCGUGGGGAUCAAACAGGAUUAGAUACCCGGGUAGUC
rnacentral:rRNA from 1 species